rnacentral:misc_RNA from 1 species
UUGCACCUAAAGCAACAGGUGCCACAUGCCCUUGUGCAAACAUUAGGCCUCGAGUGCAAACUACACCUCACCUUGCACAACCCUCCACAAUCCAAGAAUGGCAAGAGCCUUCUGUUAGCUCCUUUCACCAACUUGGUGCUUUGCUCUUCAAUCUCGAUGUCAGAUGAAACCUGGGCUAUGCAGAAAAGAAGGAUUGCCACCAAAAGAAGAGAGCGUAAAGCCAUUUAAAAGUACUACCAGUCUGAAGGUGUUGACGUGAUCUAACCAAUGGGCUUUGUUAAGAG